rnacentral:lncRNA from 1 species
GGUGAGUGCCUGAGGGGAACACGUGCAGAGUCUCCUGAAAGAGGUUCCUGCGCAGCCCAAGACGCAGCGGUGGACGCAGUUCCCAGGAGUGUCCCAAGAGGACCCCGAGGGGGACAGGAAGGAUGGCCAACCCUGCAUCUGUAAGAUCCACACCGAGAAGGAGAGGUCCACACGACAGCACCCGCCCCUGGCCCCAGCUCUCCACUCUGGACACGAACAUCCCACAGGUUUAUUUAUUUACUUAUUUGUCGUAGUUGUAGGUGGACCGAUGCCUGUAGGUACCUCUAUGUGGGGCUAAGGAUGGAACCCAGGGCCUCACACGGGCUAGGCCAGCGCUCUGCCACUGAGCCACUGCCCGGCCCUCGCACAUGACUUUGAGGAGUCUCUUUCCC